rnacentral:rRNA from 1 species
GAUGAACGCUGGCGGCGUGCUUAAUACAUGCAAGUCGAACGGAGAUUGUAGCAAUACAUUCUUAGUGGCGAACGGGUGAGUAACGCGUUGGUAACCUGCCCCGAAGAGGGGAAUAACUGCUGGAAACGGUAGCUAAUACCCCAUGUGCUCGGCGGUUCGGUCUGUCGAGUAAAGUCCCGGCGCUUUGGGAGGGGCCUGCGGCCCAUCAGGUAGUUGGUAGGGUAACGGCCUACCAAGCCGAUGACGGGUAGGGGGCGUGAGAGCGUGAACCCCCACACUGGCACUGAGAUACGGGCCAGACUCCUACGGGAGGCAG